AUGGCGGAGGCACUGGGAGCGCUGUGCCGCGGCGGAGGCUGGUCCUACGCGGCCAUCUGGCGCUCCGACCGUCGCGACCCACGUUUGCUAACGAUUGGAGAGUGCCACUGCGAAGAUGAAGCCCGAAAAGUUGUUGAGAAUAUGCUUAAUCAAGUCCAUGUUGUUGGAGAAGGCAUCAUAGGGUCAGCUCUAGUAAGUGGGAAGUGCCAAUGGAUUUCCGAUGAUGAUUCCUUUAGUUUGGUUCAGACAUGCAACGCAGAAAACCUAGGCUUAUUUCAGGGCUAUACUUGGUGGCAACAUCAGUUCAUGAGCGGAAUAAAGACUAUUGCAGUAGUACCUAUCCCGGCGCUCGGCGUGGCGCAGUUUGGCUCGGUGCAAAAGGUAUCUGAGAACUUAGAGUUUCUGGAACAUGUUAAAGGCACACUUUGUCGAAGGGAAAGCAUCUUAUGGGAUCCUUCAACCAAACAUAUUCAUGGAGAUGCUCUCCCUCAUAAUACCCGAUUUCAACUCAAUUCUCUUAGCACAAAGCGUCUUAUGCAUAUCAAAGAUGACCCAGAAAACAUGAAACUUCUUGAGAACAUAGUAGGCAUAGAAUCUCUAGGGAGUUUAGUAAGUACUUCAAGCAGUUACUCUCCGAGCUCUUCAAAUGGUUUCACUUCCUACGGAAGUUUCAACGGUCGAAAUCCUCCUCAUAUAGUGGCCAUGCCUGUGAACUCCAAGUCAAUAAAUGCAGUCAGGUUAUUUCAUAAUGGCAGCAAUUUGAUGCAGCACAAUAGUGGUUCAGAAAAUCCAUUACAGCUUCGAUCUGCUAAACAGCCUGAUUCUAGUUUAGCAAGUGCAACCACAUCCUAUUCCAGUUUAAACAAUCUUCCUAGAAUAGAGCAUGAGCUGUCAUGCACACCCAACAAUCUAGGAUACCACCUUCAAAGUGAAGAUUCAUCUAGUUACCGUAACUCAUUCUCAGCUUGUUUUUCUGUGGGUGAUGAGCUCAAACCCAUGUUAUUUGACAACAACAACAACAACAACAACAACAACUCUCCUGUUCGAAGUAACCCAAUGCAUGAGGUCGAUACUACCGGAUUUACUUCACAGGCUAAUUGUGCAGUCUAUGAGUUGCCAAAUGAAAUAUUGGUCGAACCAACUGUGGGGACGGUAAGCACUCGCGGAAAAGUUAGCAAUGGAAAUACCAGUUUGCUAGAAAGCACGGUAUUCGAUCCCCUCAUACAUGAUUGGUGGGAUAACAGUGUCCUACUAGCAGAAAACAUUCCAGAUUUCGGUGCCACUACCACAUCCUCUGCGACAGAACAGGCAAAUAGUGAUCCACUAUCAGUUGAAGGCAGGGGAUUGUUUUCAGAAUCUGUCCUUGAAGAACUGCUUGGUGCUAGUGGUAAUGUGAGUACAGAUACAGCAUGUGGCUCUGUUGUCUCUAGCACUGGUCCAUUAGCUGGUUGUUUCUCAGGCUGUGAAUUACCAGGGUACACCAUCCACCAAGACUCCUCUUACUCGGCAUGCAAGGAACAAGUACCACCAUUGAACUUCCCUUCCAGCAGCUAUACAUCUGAAAAUGUACCAAGUGGAGCAUCAAAGGCAAUACCAGUGUCCCUGGCCAAUUUAUCUAUGGAUGACAGUUGCAGUCUGCACACUGCAAAUUCCAAGGUCGGGCAGGUAACAAAUCCUGAGGGAGUAAAGGUUAUAAAGAAAAGAGCUAGACCAGGUGAGAGCACGCGGCCAAGACCGAAGGACCGGCAGCAGAUACAAGAUCGCGUCAAGGAAUUGCGUGAGAUAGUCCCAAACAGUGCAAAGUGUAGCAUUGAUGCUUUGUUGGACCGGACAAUCAAGCAUAUGAUCUUUCUGCAAGGUGUAACUAAGUAUGCAGAGAAAAUUAAGCAAGCCGAUGAACCCAAGAUGAUAAGCAAAGAUAGUGGUGCCGUCUUGAAGGAUAACUCAAGCGGUGUUGUCUUGAAAGAUAACUCUAGUGCUGCAAGCAAUGGUGGCGCCACGUGGGCCUAUGAAGUUGCAGGACAGACCAUGGUGUGCCCAAUAAUUGUCGAGGAUCUUUCACCGCCCGGUCAGAUGCUUGUGGAGAUGCUAUGUGAGGAACGUGGCUUUUUCCUAGAGAUAGCAGACACCAUCCGCAGGUUUGGACUGACAAUCUUGAAGGGGCUGAUGGAGCUCCGUGAUGGCAAGAUAAUGGCACGAUUCCUCGUCGAGGCAAACAAGAACGUGACUAGGAUGGACAUAUUUUUGUCACUUGUUCAGCUGCUACAACAAAAUAGCCACAACAGAUCUUCUGACCAGCUAGCUAAGGUCAUUAGCAGUGGGGUUCGAUCUUUCGCGGAGCAUCAGCAAUCUCCAAUGUUGAUUCCAGUUGGACUUGCUGAGAGAUGA
rnacentral:rRNA from 1 species